rnacentral:rRNA from 1 species
CAAUACAUGAGUAAAGUGGCGCACGGGUGAGUAACGCGUAGGUGAUCUACCUUUACGAUCGGGAUAACCAGCCGAAAGGUUGGCUAAUACUGGAUAGAGCGCAGGGAGCGUAAAGCUUCAUGCGGGAAAUGAGGGCGUAGCAAUACGCUCUUGCGUUGGGAUGAGCCUGCGUCUCAUUAGCUAGUUGGUAGGGUAAUGGCCUACCAAGGCUUUGAUGGGUAGCUGGUCUGAGAGGACGAUCAGCCACACUGGAACUGAAACACGGUCCAGACUCCUACGGGAGGCAGCAGUGGGGAAUCUUGCGCAAUGGACGAAAGUCUGACGCAGCGACGCCGCGUGAGUGAAGAAGGCCUUCGGG